rnacentral:rRNA from 1 species
UACGUAGGGUGCAAGCGUUGUCCGGAAUUAUUGGGCGUAAAGAGCUCGUAGGCGGUCUGUCGUGUCUGCUGUGAAAACUCAGGGCUUAACCCUGAGCUUGCAGUGGGUACGGGCAGACUAGAGUGCGGUAGGGGAGACUGGAAUUCCUGGUGUAGCGGUGAAAUGCGCAGAUAUCAGGAGGAACACCUGCGGCGAAGGCGGGUUGCUGGGCUGAUACUGACGCUGAGGCGCGGAAAGCCAGGGGAGCGAACGGG